AUGUCCUUAAGUCACAGUUAAUUCAUUUAAUGCACACUUUAAGUGUCUACUGUCAGGCACUGUCCUAGAUGUGGGAGGUUCAGUAAAAAGAAACCCACAUAGUCACACAGCCUUUGUGGAGCUCACAUUUGAAUGUUGCAUCAAGUCGGGUUCACCUGAUGCAUUGUUCUUUACUUCAAGGUGCUUCCAGCUCCAUCAGGAGGAUUGGGUGGGUGUCCUGGGUCCAGAAGAAUGGAGACUACCAACCUCUUUGCUCCUAUUACAACCCUCCCUUGCCUGCACCACCCACUGCCCUUACUUUUGCAUUUGUUAUUCACAUCAUAGAAUUUAAAGCAAGUCACACCGUUUCUCACAUUACCUACAUUUUACUCAGACGUUCUAGUUCUCAUACACAUUCUCUUACAACCUUUUCCAGGGCUAACUCUAUGGAAUGAUUUUUGGUCUUUUUGUUUUGUCUUGUUUUGUUUUUGAGAGAGAGUCUUGCUCUGUCACCCAGGCAGUGGCAUGGUCUCAGCUCACUGUAAACUCCGCCUCCCAAGUUCAAGUGUUUCUCCUGGAUUCAAGCUAUUCAAGUGCCUCAGCCACCCGAGUUGCUGGAAUUACAGGCGUGCGCCACCAUGCCCAGCUAAUUUUUGUAUUUUUAGUAGAGACAGGGUUUCUCCAUGUUGCCCAGGCUGGUCUCGAACUCCUGGCCUCAAGUGAUCCGCCCACCUCAGCCCCCCAAAGUGCUGGGGUUACCGGCGUGAGCCACUGCACCUGGCCAAAUUUUGGUCUUAGUAAAACUUAUUCAUUUGUCCAGUAACUUUUCAUUUCAAAGACUGCCAUUUCCUAGUCUUGUCCCUGCUCAACAGCAACAGCACUUCACAUACAUCAACGUCUCCAGCACCUUUCAAAGCUGCGAGGUGGCUCUAGUAUUUUAGGGAAGGCCUCUGUCCUUAGGAAAACUGCAACCCAGGAGAGAUAAAGUGAUGCAGGCCUGGAGGCAGGGGACACCAGCAAGAGAAACACGGUUCUGCCCUGGAGCACAGGCUUUUGUUUUGAUACAGAAAACACUCAAACGUGGCUUGUGAUUUUUUCAAAUUACAAAUUGUGGGAUUCAAUUGGACCUCAGUGGGAACAGGCCACAGUCUAGAGAGAGGAUGAUCAGGUCUAUCAGUUAGCUCUGCUCUGACUUGCUGUGGUGUGGCUCAAUGCUCCUGUCUGUAAUGGGCUGGGGAGAAGGAAUAAGGAGCCACAUCCAUGGGGGAGCCGCAUCCAUGGGGGAGCCAAGAGAUGUCUUGGUAUUGCCUCCCACUCCUGUGUGGAAAGGGCAGGAAGGGGACCUCCAUUGCCUCUUGGCACUGAUGGCACCUCUAUCCUCUGCUCAACAGGGGAAACAGGUGCUGCAUUCCUUCACAGCUGUCUGCCAGGAUGAUGGCACGUGGCAUCGUGCCAUGCCCAGAUGCAAGAUCAAGGACUGUGGGCAGCCCCGAAACCUGCCUAAUGGUGACUUCCGUUAUACCACCACAAUGGGAGUGAACACCUACAAGGCCCGUAUCCAGUACUACUGCCAUGAGCCAUAUUACAAGAUGCAGACCAGAGCUGGCAGCAGGGAGUCUGAGCAAGGGGUGUACACCUGCACAGCACAGGGCAUUUGGAAGAAUGAACAGAAGGGAGAGAAGAUUCCUCGGUGCUUGCCAGUGUGUGGGAAGCCCGUGAACCCCGUGGAACAGAGGCAGCGCAUCAUCGGAGGGCAAAAAGCCAAGAUGGGCAACUUCCCCUGGCAGGUGUUCACCAACAUCCACGGGCGCGGGGGCGGGGCCCUGCUGGGCGACCGCUGGAUCCUCACAGCUGCCCACACCCUGUAUCCCAAGGAACACGAAGCGCAAAGCAACGCCUCUUUGGAUGUGUUCCUGGGCCACACAAAUGUGGAAGAGCUCAUGAAGCUAGGAAAUCACCCCAUCCGCAGGGUCAGCGUCCACCCGGACUACCGUCAGGAUGAGUCCUACAAUUUUGAGGGGGACAUCGCCCUGCUGGAGCUGGAAAAUAGUGUCACCCUGGGUCCCAACCUCCUCCCCAUCUGCCUCCCUGACAACGAGACCUUCUACGACCUGGGCUUGAUGGGCUAUGUCAGUGGCUUCGGGGUCAUGGAGGAGAAGAUUGCUCAUGACCUCAGGUUUGUCCGUCUGCCCGUAGCUAAUCCACAGGCCUGUGAGAACUGGCUCCGGGGAAAGAAUAGGAUGGAUGUGUUCUCUCAAAACAUGUUCUGUGCUGGACACCCAUCUCUAAAGCAGGACGCCUGCCAGGGGGAUAGUGGGGGCGUUUUUGCAGUAAGGGACCCGAACACUGAUCGCUGGGUGGCCACGGGCAUCGUGUCCUGGGGCAUCGGGUGCAGCAGGGGCUAUGGCUUCUACACCAAAGUGCUCAACUACGUGGACUGGAUCAAGAAAGAGAUGGAGGAGGAGGACUGAGCCCAGAAUUCACUAGGUUCGAAUCCAGAGAGCGGUGUGGAAAAAAAAAACAAAAAACAACUGACCAGUUGUUGAUAACCACUAAGAGUCUCUAUUAAAAUUACUGAUGCAG
rnacentral:sRNA from 1 species